rnacentral:rRNA from 1 species
UGCAAGUCGAACGAUGAAGACCGUGCUUGCACGGUUGGAUUAGUGGCGAACGGGUGAGUAUCACGUGAGUAACCUUCCCUUAACUCUGGGAUAAGCCCGGGAAACUGGGUCUAAUACCGGAUACGACCAGUCCUCGCAUGGGGUGCUGGUGGAAAGAUUUAUCGGUUUUGGAUGGACUCGCGGCCUAUCAGCUUGUUGGUGAGGUAAAGGCUCACCAAGGCGAUGACGGGUAGCCGGCCUGAGAGGGUGACCGGCCACACUGGGACUGAGACACGGCCCAGACUCCUACGGGAGGCAGCAGUGGGGAAUAUUGCACAAUGGGCGAAAGCCUGAUGCAGCGACGCCGCGUGCGGGAUGACGGCCUUCGGGUUGUAAACCGCUUUCAGCAGGGAAGAAGCGCAAGUGACGGUACCUGCAGAAGAAGCGCCGGCUAACUACGUGCCAGCAGCCGCGGUAAUACGUAGGGCGCGAGCGUUAUCCGGAAUUAUUGGGCGUAAAGAGCUCGUAGGCGGUUUGUCACGUCUGCUGUGAAAGCCCGGGGCUCAACCCCGGGUGUGCAGUGGGUACGGGCAGACUAGAGUGCAGUAGGGGAGACUGGAAUUCCUGGUGUAGCGGUGAAAUGCGCAGAUAUCAGGAGGAACACCGAUGGCGAAGGCAGGUCUCUGGGCUGUUACUGACGCUGAGGAGCGAAAGCAUGGGGAGCGAACAGGAUUAGAUACCCUGGUAGUCCAUGCCGUAAACGUUGGGCACUAGGUGUGGGGAACAUUCCACGUUUUCCGCGCCGUAGCUAACGCAUUAAGUGCCCCGCCUGGGGGAGUACGGCCGCAAGGCUAAAACCUCAAAGGAAUUGACG